CACACGUUCCUUAGAUCCACCUCUGGGGAAUCCUUCAGCUCUGGUGCUGCUGCUCUCUUGAGUGUUGCAGCUCCAGGGUGGAGGCUCCCAGCAGCUUUUCCGGCUGUACAGUUGGAGGUGCUUGAGUCAUUGGCGUGUGAGAGGAGUCUACCUGCUCCUUCAGCCCAGUUGCUGCCCUGGCUCCCAUAGUGGCCUUCACCAGGGUAGACAAGCUGGAGGGCGGACAAG